rnacentral:tRNA from 2 species
GCGGGAUUGGUGUAGUGGCAACACACGACUCUCCAAAAGUUGUGACGGGGGUUCGAUUCCCUCAUCCCGUG